GGUGAACGCUGGCGGCGUGCUUAACACAUGCAAGUCGAACGGUGAAGCCAAGCUUGCUUGGUGGAUCAGUGGCGAACGGGUGAGUAACACGUGAGCAACCUGCCCUGGACUCUGGGAUAAGCGCUGGAAACGGCGUCUAAUACUGGAUAUGAGCCUCUAUCGCAUGGUGGGGGUUGGAAAGAUUUUUCGGUCUGGGAUGGGCUCGCGGCCUAUCAGCUUGUUGGUGAGGUAAUGGCUCACCAAGGCGUCGACGGGUAGCCGGCCUGAGAGGGUGACCGGCCACACUGGGACUGGGACACGGACCAGACUCCUACGGGAGGCAGCAGUGGGGAAUAUUGCACAAUGGGCGGAAGCCUGAUGCAGCAACGCCGCGUGAGGGAUGACGGCCUUCGGGUUGUAAACCUCUUUUAGCAGGGAAGAAGCGAGAGUGACGGUACCUGCAGAAAAAGCGCCGGCUAACUACGUGCCAGCAGCCGCCGUAAUAC
rnacentral:rRNA from 1 species